AUCAUACUCCCUCCGUCCAACAAAGAAUGUUUCAACUUUAACUAAAUUUGAAUGCAUCUAUACACCAAGUCAUGUCUAGAUACAUCCAAAUUUUACAAACUUGAAACAUUUUUUGUUGGACGGAGGAAGUAAUUA
rfam:Brachypodium distachyon strain Bd21 chromosome 3, whole genome shotgun sequence.